UGUUUGAAAUCGUGCAAGAAGAUCGCGGGUCGGUUAGAUCCAAACUUUGGGACAUCAAUCUUCUCGUACGAAUCGUUGGCGUUGAUUUCGACGUUUUGA
rnacentral:tRNA from 1 species